GGCCUGAUAGUGAAAUGGAUCAUCAUUCCGAGCUUCUAACUCGGCGUUCCAGGUUCGAAUCCUGGUCGGGCUG
rnacentral:tRNA from 1 species